GAUGAACGCUGGCGGCGUGCCUAAUACAUGCAAGUCGAGCGAACGGACGCGAAGCUUGCUUUUCUGAUGUUAGCGGCGGACGGGUGAGUAACACGUGUAUAACCUACCUAUCAGACUGGGAUAACUUCGGGACACCGGAUCUAAUACCGGAUAAUAUUUUGAACCGCAUGGUUCAAAAGUGAAAGACGGCCUUGCUGUCACUUAUAGCUGGAUCUGCGCUGCAUUAGCUAGUUGGUAAGUUAACGGCUUAUCAAGGCAACGAUGCAUAGCCGACGGGAGAGACUGGUCGGCCACACUGGAGCGGAGACACGGUCCAGACUACUACGGGAGGCAGCAGUAGGGAAUCUGCCGCAGUGGGCGAAAGCCUGACGGAGCGGCGCCGCGUGAGAGAUGGAGGUCUUCGGAUCGUAAAACUCUGUUAUUAGGGAAGAACAUAUGUGUAAGUAACUGUGCACAUCGUGACGGUACCUAAUCAGAAAGCCACGGCUAACUACGUG
rnacentral:rRNA from 1 species